AUUGAACGCUGGCGGCAGGCCUAACACAUGCAAGUCGAACGAGUGGCGGACGGGUGAGUAAUGUCUGGGAAACUGCCUGAUGGAGGGGGAUAACUACUGGAAACGGUAGCUAAUACCGCAUACCAUCAGAUGUGCCCAGAUGGGAUUAGCUAGUUGGUGGGGUAACGGCUCACCAAGGCGACGAUCCCUAGCUGGUCUGAGAGGAAGACCAGCCAUACUGGAACUGAGACAUGGUCCAGACUCCUACGGGAGGCGACAGGGGGGAAUAUUUAACAAAGGGCGCAAACCAGAAGCAACCAUGCCGCGGGUAUGAAGUAGGCAUGCGGGUUGUAAAGGACUUUCAGCGGGGAGGCGUUACCCGCAGAAGAAGCACCGGCUAACUCCGUGCCAGCAGCCGCGGGAAUUC
rnacentral:rRNA from 1 species